AUUGAACGCUGGCGGCAGGCUUAACACAUGCAAGUCGAGCGGGGUGAUGGUGCUUGCACUAUCACUUAGCGGCGGACGGGUGAGUAAUGCUUAGGAAUCUGCCUAUUAGUGGGGGACAACAUUUCGAAAGGAAUGCUAAUACCGCAUACGUCCUACGGGAGAAAGCAGGGGCUCUUCGGACCUUGCGCUAAUAGAUGAGCCUAAGUCGGAUUGGCUAGUUGGUGGGGUAAAGGCCUACCAAGGCGACGAUCUGUAGCGGGUCUGAGAGGAUGAUCCGCCACACUGGGACUGAGACACGGCCCAGACUCCUACGGGAGGCAGCAGUGGGGAAUAUUGGACAAUGGGCGGAAGCCUGAUCCAGCCAUGCCGCGUGUGUGAAGAAGGCCUUAUGGUUGUAAAGCACUUUAAGCGAGGAGGAGGCUACUUUAGUUAAUACCUAGAGAUAGUGGACGUUACUCGCAGAAUAAGCACCGGCUAACUCUGUGCCAGCCGCCGCGGUAAAAC
rnacentral:rRNA from 1 species